rnacentral:rRNA from 1 species
UUAAGUUUACUUUUGGAAGCGGUUAGUGGCGGACUGGUGAGUAACACGUAAGCAACCUGCCUAACAGAGGGGAAUAACAGUGAGAAAUCAUUGCUAAUACCGCAUAUGCUCACAGCACCACAUGGUGCAGUGAGGAAAGGAGUAAUCCGCUGAUAGAUGGGCUUGCGUCUGAUUAGUUAGUUGGUGGGGUAACGGCCUACCAAGACGAUGAUCAGUAGCCGGACUGAGAGGUUGAACGGCCACAUUGGGACUGAGAUACGGCCCAGACUCCUACGGGAGGCAGCAGUCGGGAAUAUUGCGCAAUGGAGGAAACUCUGACGCAGUGACGCCGCGUGCAGGAAGAAGGUUUUCGGAUUGUAAACUGCUUUAGACAGGGACGAAACAAAUGACGGUACCUGUAGAAUAAGCUCCGGCUAACUACGUGCCAGCAGCCGCGGUAAUACGUAGGGAGCGAGCGUUAUCCGGAUUUAUUGGGUGUAAAGGGUGCGUAGACGGAUUAGCAAGUUAGUUGUGAAAUCCCCGGGCUCAACCUGGGAAUUGCAACUAAAACUACCAAUCUUGAGUACUGGAUGGGAUUGCGGAAUUCCUAGUGUAGCGGUGAAAUGCGUAGAUAUUAGGAAGAACACCGGUGGCGAAGGCGGCAAUCUGGACAGCAACUGACGUUGAGGCACGAAAGUGUGGGGAGCAAACAGGAUUAGAUACCCUGGUAGUCCACACCGUAAACGAUGGAUACUAGGUGUUGGGGAUGAACAAUCCUCGGUGCCGUCGCAAACGCAGUAAGUAUCCCACCUGGGGAGUACGGCCGCAAGGUUGAAACUCAAAGGAAUUGACGGGGGCCCGCACAAGCAGUGGAGUAUGUGGUUUAAUUCGAAGCAACGCGAAGAACCUUACCAAGGCUUGACAUAUACAGGAAUAUAUUAGAAAUAGUAUAGCUCUCCG